rnacentral:rRNA from 1 species
CGGAAUCAUUGGGCGUAAAGCGUCCGCAGCCGGCUAGUUAAGUUUGGAGUAAAAUUACGAUGCUCAACAUCGUAAGCGUUCCAAAAACUAAUUAGCUAGAGUCACACAGGGGCAGGUGGAAUUCUCGUUGUAGGGGUAAAAUCCGUAGAUAACGAGAGGAACACCAAACGCGAAGGCAGCCUGCUGGGUGUGUACUGACGGUCAGGGACGAAAGCGUGGGGAGCGAACGGG